UUUAGACAAACAGGAUUUCAUAGAUGCACAUAGCGUCCACGCAUCUUCUCUCCCACUUACAAUUUCACACGGCCGCAGCUACUUUUUCCCGAUCCCCUUUCUCCUUUGCUCCGUUGACUCCAAAAUUGCUGCCACCAGAUGAGCUUGGUCGUCCUCACCAGCAGCCGCGGCAGUGGGCGACUCGUUUGUGCUGCCGCAGGGUGACCAUCUAUGGCGGCUGGUUUGGCUCGUACAACUCCUUGGUCUCCUAGCAGGGUCCAAGGAGCAGCUGCGCAAGGGAGUAUGCGAAAUCAUGGUGUCCGUGCGGUUGAUUUUGGCGUGUAUUUCGUCUCCCGCAGCUAGAUUGGAUCCAACUGGAGUAAUAGGAUGCAGGCAACGUUGUGUUCCCCAGUUGCGAGGCAGACACAUCAUUUCUAUUCCCGCUCGAUGCAGCCCGGCACGUCGUCGUCAUCCUCCACGGCCUCAGCAUUCUUCCAAGUUUGAACUUCAACUUGCAGGUCCCCUUCUUUCACUUUUCCCCACUCGUCAUAUUUAUAAUAUAAUUUAGAAAAUGUUUGUUAGUGGAGAAUGUUUCUUCAUUUUCCUUUAAAUCUUGGGGAAAUAUGUAAUUCUUUUUUUAAAGUUAUCUAGAUGUGUUUAAUUAGGUGCGUACUGCUAAGUUUGUGACACUUUAAAAAAUGUAAGUAUACGUCUGAGUACAUAUGAAAUAUAACCAUGUCUCGAUGCUCUCACUAUUGGUUUCCACUAAAUGAUAAGCAUGAAGAAUAAGAUAUCACACAAUAGAGAUUGUCGAUGUUUUGUUGUAGAGCAUAUUCAGCCUGCCAUAUUAUGUUAGCAUAGUGUAGUCACUUUGCAUUUUUAGGGUAUAGUUUGCAGUAUGCUAAAUUUUUAUAUAUGCAAUUUUUAUGUAAUGGAGUAGGUCAGUAGCCUGAGCUAGUGAAAGAAGCGUCAUGCUGACAGUGCAUUAUUUGUUAAUACCUUUAGAAUAUUUCUUUAUAGACUAUGUUCUUGGCCACAUCAUCCUCAUUGAUAUCUUCAUCAUUUACCAUUACUCAUAUACUAUUUCUCCCACAAUGUGUUCUUGAUAUUAUCUGUUCUUCGAUGAAUUUUCUUCUGCAUGAGGUCAUGUUGUUAUCCAUUUAUCAUUUAUCUUUUACUGUACUUUUUAUGAUCAGCCGCGUUAUGCAAAAUUAUUCUGUAUCCUUUUUUUGGGCAUUUUUACCAUGUUGCUUUGUACUUCCUCUGUCCCAGAAUAUAAGAACGUUUUUGACACUAUGCUAGUGUUAGAAACGUUCUUAUAUUUUGGGACGGAGGGAGUAAUAUAUAUUUUUCUUUAGAAGAGUUACAAACAAUAUUAAAACCUGAAAACAGAUGACACAUUAGACAUGGGCAGCUAUUGAUUUUUUUUGAAAGAUCCAGCAUUGCUGGCUUUUCAUAUUAAUCAUAGCAGAGAGCAGUGGAUAACCGAAUACAUGGUGGUGAUUCUAGGAUCAGAGAAAAAACAUAUAAAAGAGACUCAACUACAACUACGGGAAGGGGGAAACAGCUGGAGGGGUUUUAACCGAUCCCCUCUGGCGGCAAAGUGAACGGGUGCAGUAAACAAGUUGCUCUGGCCUGCCUCCAUAGAUCGAUGCCUCGUCUGAUGGCCUGCAGCACGUUUCGCAUAGAUGCCUUGUUGUUUCUGAAUGUGCAGUCGUUUCGGUGCCUCCAGAUUUCCCAGACAGCUAACAUCGUCAGCGAUUUGAUGCCCUUUCUGAAUUCAGGUUUUGUGCCCUCCACAAUCUUCAUGACCCGAUCAGCACCGCUGGGGAGAUCGCGGCCAGGUUGCAAACUCAGGGCCGCACAGCCGUUCCAGGAUGACAGACUGCUCCAGAUUGUCCUUGUGAAGGGGCAUGGCCAAAAGAUGUGGUCGGCUGUCUCGAGGUUUCUGAAGCAUAAUUGGCAGAAAUAAGAGUUCGGCCAACCUCGUCGCUGCAGCCGGUCAUUGCACCAUGGUCUGUUUAGCAGGAUUAACCAAUAGAAGACCUUCAGCUUUCCCGGCGCCCAAGUCUUCCAAAUGAUCUGCGUAAAAGCAGAGGUGUGGUUCGCCUGAAACUGUGCCCGAUAAGCUGAUGAAGCAGUGUAGCAGCCGCUAGCCUCCAGGUUCCAUCUGAUCUCAUCACUUGUAUCUGUAUUGAGGUUGAGUGACGCCGAUCGCAGGAGCCUCGCCAGGGCCACGCAGUCACAUACGAUCUGAUCAGUCUGCCCGUGCGCCAAGUCGAGGAUCCAGCGAUCAUCUCGUAGGGCAUCGGCGAUCGUCCUGUUCUUUCUCCUUGAGUGUUUAUACAGCGCCAGAAAAAGUAGUUGGAGCGUGCCCGCCUGGAGCCAAGAGCAAAUCCAAAACCUGGCCGUCCGGCCGUUGCCGACCGUGACCGAGGUAGCCGCGCUGAAGAACAGCCUGUCAGAUUCAGAGCACGGGGCCUCCAUGCCCGCCCAUGGCCUGUCCGGGUGCUUCCAGGACAGCCAUAGCCAUCUUUGCCGCAAGGCCCGGUCGAAGCGCUCAGGGUUGAGGACGCCGAGCCCCUCUCUGUCCAGCUGGGAACACACCUUGGUCCAGUUCACCUUGCAUUUGCCCCCAGACAGCUCUUCCUCUUGCGCCCACAGAAAACGGCGCCUCACUUUGUCGAUUUCCUUGAAAAAGUUCUUUGGCAUAAGGAGUACGGUCAUGGCAAAGGUUGGGAUGGCAGUCAACACAGCUCUGACUAGCACCCGCCGUCCAGCAAUGGUCAUUAGCCUGCCCUUCCAGCCUGCCAGUCUUGCUCUGAUCCGAUCCAAAAUGAACUAGAGAUGCACUAGCCUUGUUCUUGUCAGGGUGAUCGGGAGGCCCAAAUACUUGAGCGGGAAGGUGGUGAUGGUGCCCCCAAAACUCUGUAGGAUCUGCUAGAUGUCAAUACUGUCGCAUCGAAUUGGGGUUGCUGUUGAUUUAUGUCUGUUGAUCUUCAGCCCCGUUGCCUCGCCAAACAUGUUCAGAAUGGUGAUCAGCGCCUCCAUCUCAUCUCUGGCGGGGUUCAUGAAGACGACCGCAUCAUCAGCGUAGAGGCUGACUCUUAGUUUCAGCUCCCUCCUCGGCAACGGCUGCAUCAUCUGUUGCUAGACGGCCUCAUCUAUCAGACGUUGCAGUGGAUCGAUUGCCAGGAUGAAAAGCAGUGGAGAUAGUGGGUUGCCCUGACGAAGACCUUUGCGAUGCUGAAUUUUGCUCCCUGGCGCACCAUUGAGGAGGAAUUCAGAGCGAGAGGUUGACAGCAGCCACGCAAUCCAAUCUCUCCAUCUGGCACUGAACCCAAGUUCCUCCAGCAGGUAGUCCCAAGACACGCUAUCAAAUGCUUUUGAGAUGUCCAAUUUCAGUAGCAAUGCCGGAGUUUUGCUACGGUGCAGUGCUCGGACUCCAUUCUGAACAUACAAGAAACUGUCUUGUAUACACCUCGUCUUCACGAAGGCUGACUGCUCAGGGGAGACGAUCGUGUGAAUCACUUUUGACAGCCGGAUUGACAACACCUUGGUGACCAUCUUCGCAAACGAGUGGAUCAGACUGAUUGGGCGAAAGUCUGUCAUCCGCACGGCCCCAUCCUUCUUCGGCAGCAGCGCCACAAAAGCAGUGUUUAGGGCAGCCAAAUUGCCACCGGCAAGAUGGUAGAAAUGGUGGAAAGCCGCCAUGAUGUCGGCGCUGAUGAUCGACCAACAGGCCCGGAAGAAGGUACUGCUGAAAUCGUUGGGGCCCGGCGCCUUCUCCGCCGGCGAUUGCAUGAUUGCCGCCCAGGCCUCACCUUCUGAGAAAGGGUUGUCCAAACCAGCUGCAGGAACCCUUGGUAGCUGCAACACGCUCCAGUUGAGGGUCACACGCCGCCCCGUGUCCGCUGCCAUCACCUUGCUGAAAUGAUCAUGGAUGAUCUGUGCUUUGUCCCCAUGAGUUGUGGCAAAAUUUUCGUCGCUCUGGAUGGUGUGGAUGAAAUUCUUGCGUCUUCUGGAGCAGCAUUUUGCAUGGAAGAACUUUGUACUGGCGUCGCCUGCUCGCAGCCAGAGCACCCUGGAUGCCUGUCUUCUUCUGGCCCUUUCAAUGGCCGCCAGACCCACCAGACGCAUCUUGAGCAGCUUGCGCAAGUUGAAUUCCGCGGUUGAAAGUGUUCUUGUCUCCUGCUCCACGUCCAGCCGGAGGAUUACCUCGCUGGCGAUGUGAAACUGCGCCUUUGCAUCGCUGAACAGCGAUCUGCUCCAGAUUUUCAGGUUGCGGGCAGUCCCGGUGAGCUUGACCUGCAGCCAUGCAAAAGCACAACGCUGCUGAACCGGGCGAUUCCAUGCACGCUCGACAGUAGUGUGAAAGUGCGGGAAUUGUGGCCAGAAGCUCUCGAAACGGAAACGAGCUCAACGGAUCGGGGCGUCGCAUGGCGCCAGGAUCAGCGGGCAGUGGUUGGAGCACGCUGUAGCAGAAGCCAUCAGAACGUAGGCGGGAAAGAGGAGCUCCCAGCUAACAUUGCAGAAGAAUUUAUCUAUACUAACCAGCGUGGGAUUUUGCCGUUCGUUACUCCAGGUGAACCGCCUAUUCUUACACUUAAUCUCCGGCAGCCCAGCCGCAUCUAUAGCCGCCCCAAACCUCCCCAUGAUACGCCGAUUCAGGUUGAAAUUGUUCUUAUCUCUAGCCUCGUAGAUAUUGUUGAGGUUGCCGGUGAGUAGCCAGGGAUCACUUGGGGGGGGGCUGAUCUAGCCAACUCAAGCAGGAACACGUCCUUCCGAGCCUUCGCCGGCCCAUAAACAGUGGUUAGCCAGAAAGUGGCGGCCGGUCGGAGGACGGUGACUUUAGCAGUGAUGGCGAAUUCACCAACAACAUGGGACACGAUCGAGACGAUCUGGUUAUCCCAGAGGAUGGCCACCCCGCCCCUGGAGCCAAUCGCAGGUAAAACUACACAAUCGGCUAACCUGCUCCCUCCUACGUCUCUAACUAGGGCCGGCGACCAGUUGUCGAUCUUUGUUUCCUGAAGGUAAAGGAUCGCUGGUCGAUGCGCCGCAACGGCUUCGCAGACAGUGUCUCGCUUGGCCGGCAUAUUGAGCCCACGCACAUUCCAGCUAACUAUGGGGCAGUGGUUGUCACCCAUAAGGAAACAUGAUCAUACUCCAACAGCUACUAGUUCCAUUGAUCGAAGAGACACACGAACACGACGACAAGCACACUCCACCACCUUUCGGGGGACGCUGAUGCCCACCAAUAGGCCCCAAAUAGCAGCAGCGCCGACUACCUCUAACAGCUAACCCUACAAGCAUUACAAGUGAGCCUAACUCAACCCCGCUUAAGGCCGGGCGCCAUUGGAGAUUACUACGACAUGGGACUAACAUGAUCAAACCGCGGCCUCCUCGACAACUCCAUCAGGACCGUCCAUGGAAGCCGCCACACGCAGCGCCUCCUUGCUGAGGCGGGUCAGCUUGGCGAUGCAGACAAUGUCGCCGUCAGUGAGCGGCUCAUCGAACUUGUGCAGCAGCUUCUCGACUGUCUUGGCGGUCAUCUUCUCCUUUGGACCAAGCAAGCCCAGCUUGCGCACCAGCCACAGGGUCCCUCGCUGCGAGACGGGCACGAAUGUCGGGUUUGCAGCUUGUCGGGCGCUGUGGCGAACAGGAGCAGGCACGACCCUAGUCUUGGGCGGGGCAGACGAUCGGCGCACCGACGCUUCAGGCACCAACGGCGGCUUGGUGGCUUGGAAGAGGCGCAGCGGGCUAGCGGCCGGGUCUGAAGCCUCGCUCUCUGCACCAAGCUGGAGGCAGCAGACCUGGUGGGUGACGGCGCCCAGCUGCAUCUCCGCCGCCGUGGGACGGGCCGGUUCCUUGCGACUGAGGUGGCCCACCGCGGCGCUUGGGCCGGCCAGGGUUGGGCCGAAGACGUCCGGCAAGCCCGUGGCCACCGCGUGGAUGCUGUUGACUUGGUCGUCGAACUCCAGAGGGGCCGAGACCACAGCCGCCACGUGGGCCUCCAGCUCAGCAGCCAUGCAGUCGAAGGGGGGUGGCUGCGAGAGAUGGUUCUUGGCGCCGGCGAAGAAGUCGGCGAUCGGGUCAGGGACUGGUGCAGCUUCAGCGGACGGCGGCGAGGGCAGGGGAUGCGGUGCCUGGAGUAGAGCGGCCCCCGCGCCCGCAGCAUGGCGGCGGCCUGAGUUGCAGCGGCCCCGCGAGCUCUCGGAGCGACGCUGCCCAGGGGGGAGCGGCUGCGGCGACGAGACGCGCCCUCCUGGUCGGCCACCUCCUUUCCGGCACGACUCCGGCCUAGGAGCGUGUCCUUCCAGGACCUGCGCCCACCCUGAUCUUCUCCGUCGUCGUCCUUGCGGCCACCACCUCCGCGAGGGGCGCCGUGGUACCCCAUGUCCGCAAGCGCAGCAAGCUGGCGACGGUGCUGCGGCUCACGCUGGCCAUCUUCCACCCCCUUCUUCCAGGAGCCGGCAGGGAUGAUCCGCGGCAUGGGCCUGUCGUCCUCGUCAGAGUCCGAUGAGGGCAGGCCGCUCUGCACAGAGCGAGGUGAUCGCGGCUCGUAGGGGGACCAGUCCUAUGCGGUCCACAUGGAUGAGGACAUCAUGGCGGCUUGCAGAAGGUGGCGCAGCGAAGACACGGCCGGGCGGAGAGAAGCCCAGCAUCUCCACGCGGCCCGCUCCCCGCUCCAUCAGCCAGAACGUGUGCUUGGUCGGGAUUAGGGCCACAUCCCAAACCCAGACCCAGCAGGCGAAGCUCUUGGCGUGGCUGCGCUCGAAAGUGCGAUUGUCGAGGCGGUCGACGCGGCAGCCGAGAGCCUCUUCGGCCCCCUCCACGGACAAGAAGUGCUGGGGCAUCUUCUCGAUGACCACCCGGACAUGGUAGUUGAAGGUCUGAACCACGGCGUGAUCGUCUUCGUGCCAGCGCUUGAUGAAGAACUUGGCGCCGUCGACCGUCAGGGAGCCCAGCUUGACGACUUGGUCUUGAUGGAUCGACAGAUCAAAGAUGAUGAGGUAGUCCUUCGGGUCGUGGCUGGUGAUCCACAGCAGGUGCAGAGGGAUGCGCAACCGAGCCUCGAGCUCCUGCCUGACCGCCAUGGCGCUGGAGGAUCGCCUCGCGUCCGCUGCCGUGAGCAACACCGCCUGGCGCUUCAGGACGAAGGUGGCGUGCUCCAGGGCGCGGGUGGACAUGACCACCUUGCAGCUUUGUCGCGGGCUGCGCGCGGGGUUGGCGACGUGGGUGCCCUCCAUGGCGAGGGGCGGCGACGGGGCGGGGGACGAAGGCACAGCAGCAGCAGCAGGGAAGCGAAGUCUAUCCCGCGCCGGCACCCGGGCGGUGGCUGCGGCGGGGUUGCGCUUGGGGUUUUGAGGGCACUCCCGGCCGAAGUGACCAGAGAGGUUGUAGAUGAUGCAGCAGAUUGGGUCGCGGCAAUCUUUCCUACAAUGCUUCUUGCUCAGGCAACGAAAGCACUUCCCCCGGAACUGGCUUAAGAAGGCAGCCCGGCCGGCAGCAGCAUUGAAGUCGCCUCGGCGGCCAUGAAGGGCCGAAGGGGGGCGCGGCCUAUUGCCCGCCAUGCCAGAGCUUGGGCGCCGGUCUUUCUGGGAUGAGACGUCGGUCCAUCCCCGCCCGCCUCUGCAGGGGAGGGAUUGAUGCCAGCAGCGGGUGCAACUACAAUGGAGUGAAGGCGUGGUCGCUCCAAAAACGGCAAGGAGGGAGGAUCCGCGGCUAGAUCCGCAGGGUGAAGCAGGGGCACAGCGGUGGAGCUCUCUCCACGAAGCAGGAUCUGCGGCGGAGAACCUGGAUCUCGCGCAUUGACUCCGCAAGACAGCUGCGAGUCCGGCACCAUGGACGGACCAGAGGACACAGGGGAGGCAGGCGAGACCGCGCGCAGGCUACCACUAGCGCUAGAUCUACGAGAACACGACCGUCCCAUACCGCCCAGCAGGCAGCAGCUGGUAGACGCCGCGGGUGGCAGCCGAGGCCGGAGCGACCCACGGUGCGGGGGGUGGCUGGCGCGGCCAAGUCGCAGCCGGGGAUGGGGUGGCCGCCGUGGCCGGAGUGGCCAGCGGCGCGGUGGGAGCGUGGGGCUAGAGCGUCCGCCACAGAAACAUAGUCAGUAAUUGGCACUUGGCUCUUAGUGAGGAUGAGAUUGAUCGUAGGGAACUUCUUUGGGCAGCUAUUGAUGCUUGUACGGACAUGUUAGUUUGAACUUCAAAGAAUAUAAGUUAUACCAUGAAAACAGUACCUGUGACAUUCACGUAACCUACCCAAAUGUUUCCUCUGUUUGUAAAUAGUCAAUGUGUACGUGCAUUGCACGUUAAUUUAGAAGUAUAUUAAGUGCAUGUUGAUAUUAAGUAGGAUAUUAUUUGCGUGUUAUUAUGUGAUUAGCACUAUAUUUGGCAUGGAAUUAACUGCACGCUAAACGUGUUGAGCGCUCGACAUUGAAGCAGUCUAGGUCGUUGGAUUGACAUGAUUUGAUGGCCGAGAUUAAUUGGAUCUGCCUCUUUGGGUCUUUUUAUAUUGGUAUAGAUGAGGUAUAUUUCUUGCCUCAAACAGAGCAUAUUUCCCAUUUUCUUACAAAAUAAGAGUCAUGUUCCUUGUAUGCCCUAUAUGUAUAUAUUCCUACAACAUACAUACAUACUACACUUAGGUGCAAUGUAGUCACUAUUUUCCUUAGACAUUCGGAGAAGUAAAGACAUAAAGAGGAACUCAUAUAUAUUUUCCAUAAAGAGGAAUGCCCUGCAAAAUUUUAAAAUGGUGAAACUUUUAUACAUGCUUGCUAGUAAUUCUGAGCCAAAUGCAAUAGAGAUGUAGAAUGUCACAUCUAUGACAUGAAUAAUUAUAACUUUAGUCAUUCAGAAUUUCAGUGCUAAAAGUAAUCUGAAUGUCAAAUACAGAAAGGUUUACCUCUGUCAUUGUAUGAACUUAUUUUGAGGGAUUUGAACAUUGAGAGAAUUCCUUAUUUGGCCCUUUCUUAAAAUCUGGUUCCCUAUUUGGCCCUAGAAAUUUCAUUUUUCCCUUUUUGACAUCAUAAAUUCAUUUUAUUCCUCCCAUGACACUUCUAUCACUUUUUGCUGUUAACACCAUCAAAUGUGACUUGAAAUGUCUUAUUUACCCCUGCUUUACCACGUCGGAAAAAAAAUGAAAAAUUUAGUUGCGGUGCGAGGCAUGGAGGAGGGCGCGGCGGCGCUGUGCAGGCCCAAGUCGCGGCACCGGAUGUCACGCCCCGAGACCCUCCAGUUGCUGCACCUCUCACUAGUGCAAAGGCCAAACAAACCUGUGGCCACCAUGCAAAGUCUCCACGUAGCCAUUUGAAUGUCCUAAGUAUUUCUAGAGUGUUGCCAGCACAUGCAUGUACAUCCCAUAAAUAUCAGGCCACAUAGCUAGCUAGCUACUUCAUGAUUAGUUUGUACUUCUAUUUACUUUGUACUACUGCUGAGUCAGACCGACAUGAGCCAGAGGAAAAACUCCACACCUAUUCUUCUCUUCUCACAAGUUCUCUAUAUAUUGGCAUGCGUACUACUUAGUUUCGGAGGAUUUCCUCCACCCGUGUACAUCUUCCCAUUAUCCAUGUACUAAUCUUGGUGUAGCAUAUCUUAUUUUCUUAAUUAUUUAUUUAAACAAAUAAUACAAAUUUAAUUAUCUAACUUAACUCAACAACUUAAAAUAAAUAUCCUUAAAAAUCAGGGUUAUUACACCGGAGGUCCGUUGGUGGCAGGGGCGUGCUAACUGGGUCGCCGUGGCUGCGUGCUUUCCAUGGUCCAGUGUGUACUCUUCGUGCGUGUGUGAUGUGAUGUGUGUGUUGUGUGCAAAUAGAGAAAUUGAGAGAUGGAUCUCUUCUACACGUUGUGCGUGAAGAGAGAAACCGUGAGAUUGUUGUGCAUGUCUGUACUGCUCGUACAUGUUAAUUAGUGCACUGGUUCUUAUUAAUAUGGGUUUCUCAGUACAAUCUUAUAAUAUAAUUUCGUUGCAAAUCCAAGGCACUGAAGCAUUCUGUCCACGCGCCUACAUCGCCAUAGCUUUUGACUUCCAGCUCAUAAUUUUAGUCACAAAAUACAUCAGGGGUAAAAUGGAUUUUUCAUGUUGCAUUUAAUGGUGUUAGUUGUCAAAACUGACGGAAAUGUCAUAAAGGGAACAAAAUGAAGUUUGAGUGUCAAAACAGGAAGAAUUUUUUUACCAGGGCCAAAAAAGGAACCAAAUUUUAAGGAAGGGCCAAAUAAGGUAUUCUCUCUUGAACAUUUGGUGAAAUUAAUUGAUGAUCAUAUACAUGGGAAACAUUUUGGCAGAACUACAGUUAGUGAUGAUUUUCCCUACGCAUGGCCUAUAGCAGAACUGUAAUCUAGCAUUAUCUAAAAUAAGAGACCAGCCUUGGACUAUUAUCUUCCCAUGGUACCACCAUGCUAAUGCUGAAAACAACGUCUAGUACAAUGAAUCUUGCUUUGAAUAUAACAGAACUACUACCCUGCAACUUUAUUCUAUACUGAAAAAUAAUUGUUGCAAUAGUUAAGCUUAUUCCAAAUCUUGUAAGGUACAAUGCACAUACAAAAGAAAGGGUAUACAAUUUGCAGGUCACUAAUCAUAUACUUGAUUCUUAACUUUGUGUUGGGUUUCUUCUAACAUUUCAUAAUACAGAUAGGCAAAUACAUGAUUUAUUUCUGCUACAUUUUCCAGAACAGCAGGAUUAUGGAUAGUUCCGAGAAGGCGCCUCCCGAUCAAGGCUAUUAAUACUCUUGUUGUACUUGUCAAGUCCGACAUCCUAGUGCUAUGUCUCGGCUGUAUGGGUGUCAAGGAAAUUUUCAACCUGGCCUGAUGGAUGCAAGUGUUUCCUACUCUCGUAUCUCUAUGGUGAUCAAGACUCAGCGAUCCAUGACACACAGAACUUUGGCUCACUGCUCUCACAAAAAGGGGUAAACAUGCAUGGCGUGCCAUAACUGGGUCUGGUUUGCAAGGAAGCAUUCUGUUGUCUGGCCAUUAUUAUUGUGGUCACCUAUACAAAUCGAACUGAUCUGACAUGCUCAUCCUCCAUUCAUGGGUGAUUGUUGUCAUUAGCUCCACUCUUAUCACCUUACCAAAUCUGAAGCCUCGCUUCUCUCCUGGAUGUGCAUGUUGGUGGAUGGAUGUAUGCAUUCAGCAAAGCACAGAGGCAGAAGUCCACCAGUCCAAUCUUCAUCCUUGACUCUCAAAAAUCUGCAUAGGCACAACUCCAUUAUGCAUUACAAUAUGACACCAUGCUUUAGCCUCAUCAAUCUUUGUAAAGUUUGUGGAUGGACAUUUAGUUUGUUUUGAUAACUAAAGGGGAAAACCUUUGGCCAGAGCUGGACAUGAGAGCAAAGCGAGGGAUAAAGGAUUGCAUGGCAGUGCACUAUGUCUUAAAGUCCCUGGCAACAUCUGUUGUGCUAAUGAAAACUGGUGUCCUCAACCAAAUUGAGGGCCACAAAUUUUAUUCAGUACUCCAGCUAGGUAUUGCUAAUCAUGGUCCCCGGUCCCGUAGUGGAUGGAGCACCAAUUUUUUGGGAGUUGGAUCAAUCACAUCAGAUUCAAUCGGCAAUCGCUAAAUAGUAGUAAAGCUUGAAGUGAACUUACCUGAAGUUUUGGCAAGAAUUAAUCUG
rnacentral:lncRNA from 1 species